CUCUUUUAACACGGUCUUUCAAGGAAGACAUUUCUAUAUCUUUGUUUCUUAUUCCUCCUUGUUUACGGAGAGCUGGUCCUCCCCUCUCUUUCAAAUUGCCCUCUCUUCUCAUCUACAAAUGUUCAUGGUACAGAUAUUUUUUUAUUAUUCCCUCUAAACUUUCCUGUUCUCAUCUCGUCUUUUAUGAUCUCAACUGUGCCAGAAGAAACUGGCCGCAGAGGCUGCCGGUUAGCCUUCGUCAGCCCGGGUCUUAGCCUCUGCUGAGACCGUUUCGUGCGCGCUGCUCGUCCUCGCGUGGAGAUGCACCAUCGCGGAAGGAAGAGCCGUAGAUGGACCCUGAUGAGCGGCUGACGAGCUUCCUGUUGGCUGAGUCCUGACUUCUAAGUGAACACAAGCCCUGGGAUGCGGAGAGCAGGACAGAUGCUGAGGCGUCAGGUGUGUGGGAGCCCUUCCUCUGGAACCUAGCUAAUAAUUUCUUAUUAGCAAGAACAAGUGAGGAAAACUGCGGUUCCACCGGAAACCUAUUGACUAUGAUAACUGAGGUCCGUCUUCCCUGCUCAGAGUGAGGCCUGAGACCACACCCGGUGCCUUCCCGCGUCAGCCCAGUGUGAACCCUGCUAGUUCCUGCGGAAAGACAAGCGCUGCCUGAGAGAGUGAAUUCAGCAGCAGUGGUGCGGCACUCUCCAUUUGGCUGGGAGGAGCAGGCAAGGAUUCUGCAGCUGUGCUGAUGGGCAUCUCACGCCAGAGAAGAUUCAGUGCCGCUCUUCCAAUUUUUCCCUUCAAAAGAUCCUUAUUUGCUUUGAAGAGUAGGCACAUAUUUAAUCUAGUUGUGUUUAAAAGUCUGAGUUUCAGGCUCUCCCUGUCCUUCCUGCCAAUCUCUCCCUUUGGGGGGCUUAAUUUUGUUUUCUUUUUGACAAAUCAUGAGCAUUAAAAAAAGAUGGCUAUAUUACCAUUUACUAAAGAAUAGUUGGAAUGCUCAGAGCAUUCUGUGCUGGAGGGAACAGGAUUUGCAUUACAAUAUCAGCAAG
ensembl:lncRNA